AAGUCGUAACAAGGUUUCCGUAGGUGAACCUGCGGAAGGAUCAUUAACACGUAUCCAAACGUUAAAACCCCCCCCGUGAACCUUCAUCCUGCUCUUGUAACCCGCGUAGUUCGCAAUCUCUGAUAAAUCAUAGCCCGGAAAGUUGUAGUGAUUCAGACUCAAUGUAAUACAUUGGGUAAAAAAACCGAACAACUGUUAACAAUGAAUAUCUUGGUUCUC
rnacentral:misc_RNA from 1 species